AGACAGCUUGAAGUUUACAUCAUUGCUCCUCUAUUUAACCGACUACAAGUCUGAGCAAGGUGAGACCACUCAAGCGCAUCUCUCUCUGUUUCUCUGAUCUUUCCUCCUCCUCCUCCUCCUUGUUUUUGGGUUUGUUUUUGUUUUUCUUGUUUUGAGUAUGCUUAUCCGUACCCUCCUCCUCGUCUUGAUGCCCCGCCUGAACCAGUAAUUCCAUCUGGGUCGACGGACUUGGGCGGUUUUCCGGCCUCCAACACGACCCAAGAACACUUGGGGACCCAAGUUCCGCCGGCUGCUGAAUCAAUGAUUCAAAUUCUCGAUCAUUUUGAUGCGGCCGCUGACACCACCGCCGAGCCUUCUAAAUCAGUGGCCCAAGCUCAUCCUCCUCAUCCUCCUGUUGAUGCCCUGCCUGAACCAGUAAUUCCACGCAAUGCUCAGCAACAAGACCUAGGAUUGCCAAAGCUAGUUUUAGCGUUCUGCUUGACAGCAGCUUUUGAAAUCGCCUUCCGAUCCAUCCAGACUCAUAAACACUACCCUAUAACCUUCCAAUUGAUGUGUCUCUUAAUGGUGUUUGCACUCGCUUUUCUCGUUGUUGCUAAAUACAUCGUUGCCAAGUACCCAAAAUCAGGCCGCUUGCUUGAGCACGCUGGACUACUCUGUGGAGUUACCGCUUUCUUUGCGGCCAUCACCGUCUCUUUCUCUCUCUGCCUCAAGCUCAUUUCCUGGAUGGUAUAUGCUCUUUCAUUGCUUGCCAUUUCCAUCUGCAAUUGCCCUCCACCACUGUGAACCCCUAAUGCUAAUCCUGCACAAGAUUGUCGUUCAGGGAUUGGAAAUAAGCAAAGAACCAUGAAAUGGAAUAACAGUUGCAGGAUGUUGAUAAAUGAAACACUGUCAAUGGCAGAUAACUUACCAAAAGAACAAGAAAAAAAAAAAGAUAUGUGGUUCUCGAACAAUUAAGAGCUGAUAAGGUGGUACUGAAACGGCACAUGAAUAAAUCAUCUUCUUGGAGGGAACAAGUCACUCAAGAAUAAUGUGGAGCACUCCCCAGUUGCACAAGUGACCUCUACAUACUGGAGAGCUGUCCAUAAGCUGCUCUGAAUCCAGAACACCAUUUCGGAGUCCCAGAAGCACCAGGUAAUUUUUCUACUCUUCAAUUUUCUUUUUCUUUUUUCUUUUUCGGCUGCUCUGUCUCAAAUAUUCUUCCCUAGCUUUCCCACUACACCUUCUGCUGCAUAAACCCUAAAGACUGCUGUGAUGGAGCAGCAGUGUCAACCAAUUUCUUUGGUCGUUUUCUAAUCAAAUGAUAGCAUUUUGCUUAACUUCAUCUGUCAAAAUAGCCAUCCAAUUUAUUCAAACCUGACUACUCUAACUUCCUCCAAUUUUUUCACUAGCCUUUGCCUCCGUCUUUGUAGUGAGUUACCUAUCACAGCCCAAGCUUUAUAGUGACUUGCUAUCUUCUUUGCUGCCACAACAUUCUGUAUUGCUAUUUGAUUCCCUACAACAGCAGUCCUCACAUGCACCAAUUGGUCUGUUUAUGCUGUCUCCUUGCUACUCAUUCUCACAUACACCACACUAAUAAGCAUGAACGAGAAACACCCCCCCCCACCACACACACACACACACGCAUUUUAUCCAGUAUCUGUAAGAAUAUGAGUAUGUACACCUAAGAAGCAUGGACACAGACACGUGACACGACAUGGAUACGACACGGAUAUACCGACACGUUAAUUUUCAAAAAAUGAAGGACACGACACGUAGGGGACACGCAUGAAAUAUGUAAUUUUAUAUAUUUAUUAUAUGUUAUAUAUUUAAAUAUAUCAUUCAAAGAUAAUAAAAAAUGCAAUAUGACACUAAUUCCUAUAAAUUUAUAUGGUUUUUGAUUUGUUAUUGUAUCUUAAGUUGUUUUAUUUAAAUUUAUAAUUAGUUUCAUUUGUGCCCAAUCGAUAGACACGUGUGUUUAUGCGAUUGACAUGUGUGUCCUCUAAGUGUCCAAAGUGUAUCUGGGUCUUUAAAAAAAUUUAAAAAAUAAGACACGUUUUGAAGAGUGUCGGACACGUGUCCUAAGAGUGUCCAAAGAGUGUCGGUGUCCAACACGGACAUGACACGGAAAGUUCCAUCCUCUUUCGCUGGUAUCAAUUCCCUAGUCGUGUUCCAUGUAUGUAAGUGAACAAAAGAAAAGUUUUUCUAAAGUAAUUUGAAUUUUUUAAUUUGUUUUAUUUGGAUUUACCUCAAAAGGGUAAUUUGGAAAAAAAAAAAAAAAUAGGAUGUACUGAGAAUAAACCAUUACCCUAAAUAAUUUAGUAGGGUAUAUUGAAAAUUGGGCUCACUUGAAUAUUUUUUGGGUGUAAAUAGAAUCUCCCAACUUAUGCACAUGCUCUGAAUGGACUUUUGAUAAUUAAUGGACAAAUACUUCCUCAUAAGCCCCAAGUGUUGUUAGUCCAGUCUUAUUAUAUCUUGCUAGGCCUUUGGUAGUCAAGUACUACUGACCGGUCACAACGUUAUCCUGUUUGGGACGAGAUAAGGUCGUGAUAGAGUGCGGGGGGCUUGGUUGGUGAGGGACGUAAUUUAUAGAGUGAAAAUGGAGCGAACUGAUGUAGUGGGUUUAG